UACGGAGGGUGCGAGCGUUAAUCGGAAUUACUGGGCGUAAAGUGUGCGCAGGCGGCAGAGCAAGUCGAGUGUGAAAGCCCCGGGCUUAACUUGGGAAUUGCGCUCGAAACUACUUUGCUGGAGUGUGGCAGAGGAAGGUGGAAUUCCACGUGUAGCGGUGAAAUGCGUAGAGAUGUGGAGGAACACCAAUGGCGAAGGCAGCCUUCUGGGCCAACACUGACGCUCAUGCACGAAAGCGUGGGGAGCAAACAGG
rnacentral:rRNA from 1 species